rnacentral:miRNA from 1 species
AAAAGAAGACAUUCUAAAACAUGUUGAAAACCUGUAACCAUUGACCUCCAUAGUAUUUGUUGUUCCCACUACGGAAGUCAAUGAUUACAGGUUUUCA